UGGGGAAUAUUGCACAAUGGGCGCAAGCCUGAUGCAGCGACGCCGCGUGGGGGAUGACGGCCUUCGGGUUGUAAACCUCUUUCAGCACAGACGAAGCGAGAGUGACGGUAUGUGCAGAAGAAGCACCGGCCAACUACGUGCCAGCAGCCGCGGUAAUACGUAGGGUGCGAGCGUUGUCCGGAAUUACUGGGCGUAAAGAGCUUGUAGGUGGUUUGUCGCGUUGUUCGUGAAAUCUCACGGCUUAACUGUGGGCGUGCGGGCGAUACGGGCGGCCUGAGGAACUGCGGGGAGACUGGAAUUCCUGGUGUAGCGGUGGAAUGCGCAGAUAUCAGGAGGAACACCGGUGGCGAAGGCGGGUCUCUGGGCAGUAACUGACGCUGAGAAGCGAAAGCGUGGGGAGCGAACAGG
rnacentral:rRNA from 2 species